CACACACUGCAGGGGGGAAAACGUGUACAUGACUUUUUAGAUCCAGGGGGAAAAACACAAACAGGGGCUGGUGUUAAUACAGACAGGAUCAUACGCACACACACGCGCCCACACACUGCAGGGGGGCAACCGCACACACACUGCUUUUAAUCUCCAGGGGGAAAACACACACAGAGGGUGAUGUUAAUACAGACAUAUCACACACACACACACACACACACACACACUGCGUGGAGGGGCAAACACACAUACUUCUUUUAAUCUCCCGGGGGAAAACA